UACGUAGGGUGCAAGCGUUGUUCGGAAUCAUUGGGCGUAAAGCGCGUGUAGGUUGUUUGUUAAGUCGGAUGUGAAAGCCCUCGGCUCAACCGGGGAAGUGCAUUCGAAACUGAUUAACUAGAAGAUGGUAGAGGAAGGUGGAAUUCCAAGUGUAGAGGUGAAAUUCGUAGAUAUUUGGAGGAAUACCGGCGGCGAAGGCGGCCUUCUGGACCAUUCUUGACACUGAGACGCGAAAGCGUGGGUAGCAAACAGG
rnacentral:rRNA from 1 species